rnacentral:ncRNA from 1 species
UGAAAUGCAAUGAUGGAGACUAGUAUGUAAGAGUAAGCCAGCUAGGGAGGAAGCAUCGUGACUGCAAAUGCUUCUCUGGGACCUUUCUUACAGAAUUCACUCCGAAGCAGCUCCCUGAAAACAGGUAGAAGUAGGGCGGGCCGGAUGUAAUCCGUUAUGGUAAUGAAGCGAACAAAGCAAGAGAAAUCCUUGCUUUUGUUUAAAUAUGGGUGGUACCGCGAAUCCUCGUCCCUUUU